rfam:Novosphingobium sp. AAP83 AAP83_Contigs_22, whole genome shotgun sequence.
GCUGAUCGCGCGGGAGAGUUCUCUCGAUUCGUUCAGAAUCGGGAGACGCCGAAGGAGCAACCGCCCCGGAAUCUCUCAGGCACAUGGACCGCGUGGGUCGA